GUCUCUGCUGAGCACUGUGGAAUCAUGAGCUCCCUCUCAGGUCUGGGGGCAUCCGAGGCUCCACGUGGUGGCAUCAGCAGGGCUAAUGACACCGUUGGCAGGGCAAGGCUGGCAUGGUGCAAGCCCUGGCUGAGCAGGCACAUGGCUCUGCCUCGAGGGCUUGGGAUCAGCUGUGGGAGCAGAGAUCCGCUCUCAGCUUAUUCCAGCCCGCCUGGGGCCAACACUGAUGAACAAGAGCUGGCUGCAGCCUACCUCAUAGAGGAGCACAGUCUACAGGGACCAGGGAGUAUGGCGAUGUUGUCUCCGGGAAGUUUUGGAAAAGCUAUAAUAAAAAAUGUGCUAGGUUCAUGAAUGAAGGGAA
rnacentral:lncRNA from 1 species